rfam:Stegodyphus mimosarum contig126212, whole genome shotgun sequence.
GCCUUCGUGGUGUAGUAGUUAACACGCUGGACGCAUAACCGAGAGGUCCGUGGUUCGACUCCCGGCGAAGGCG